rnacentral:rRNA from 1 species
CGAAAGCCUGACGGAGCAACGCCGCGUGAGGGAUGAAGGCCUCUGGGCUGUAAACCUCUUUUCUCAAGGAAGAAGAUCUGACGGUACUUGAGGAAUAAGCCACGGCUAAUUCCGUGCCAGCAGCCGCGGUAAUACGGGAGUGGCAAGCGUUGUCCGGAAUUAUAGGGCGUAAAGCGUCCGCAGGCGGCCCUGUAAGUCUGUCGUUAAAGCGUGGAGCUUAACUCCAUUUAAGCGAUGGAAACUACAGGGCUUGAGUGUGGUAGGGGCAGAGGGAAUUCCCGGUGUAGCGGUGAAAUGCGUAGAUAUCGGGAAGAACACCAGUGGCGAAGGCGCUCUGCUGGGCCAUAACUGACGCUCAUGGACGAAAGCCAGGGGAGCG